GAGAGAGCAGAGGGGAAAUCGGAGAAAACGAUUGGUGAUUAAUAAGCAGAAAAAGGAGAGAAAAGUUGAUUUUGAGGUUGAAAAACAUAACUUAUCUAGUCGGGAACUGACGGGGAUUUUAUGAGAGUUAAGUCACACCAGUUUUGGUGAACCUGUCCAUGCCCACCAAAAUUGGGAGAAAGUCCGGGCAGGUCUGCCAGCACAGCAGGAAGGCUAGGCUCAGCAAUUCCACGGGGGGUGUUCCGAUUCACAUUCCUGAUGCACCACAGGCUUCCUCAGAUCAAGCAGGGGUGUACUGAGUCUCUUGUUCCCGAACUCUGAGGAUUGGGUUUUCCAGCAGGACAGUGCUCCAUGCCGCACAGCCAGGUCAAUCAAGGUGUGGAUGAAGGACCACAAGAUCAAGACCCUGUCAUGGCCAACCCAAUCUCCAGACCUGAACACCAUUGAAAACCUCUUGAAUGUGAUCAAGAGGAAUAUGGAUGGUCACAAGCCAUCAAACAAAG